AGGCCGCCGUGAGGGGGAGGGUAACAGCCAGGUUAGAAAAAGGUCCUCCGGCUUCCAGGCGCGUAUUUGGCAGCAGACCGGCCCUUCCGGGAGGAGCCCGUCAAAGCAGUGAUUCCUUGCACCUUCUCGGGACUACCAGCUAGGAGUCACAAUGGAUAGAAUGAGGGCAUGGAGAAUGGAAAUCCUGAGUUCAAAUAUGCCCUCAGACACUUCCUAGCAAUGUGACUUCACUGUGGAGUCACUUCACUGUGUUUGCUUCAGUUUCCUCAUCUGUAAAAUGAGCUGAAGAAAGAAAUGGCAAACUACUCCAAUAUCUUCACCAACAAAAGCUCAAAUGGGGUAACAGAGUAGAACAUAACUGGAAUGAAUGGACAACCAAUCACCACACAAGUUCCCCCCCAAAAAAAAAAAUACCAUUGAAGGAGGGUAGUUAAGAUUUUUAAAUGAAAACAGCAAAAAAAAAAAAAAAAAACAAAAAAAAAACUCCAAGAAAUGGUAUCUGGGGUUAUAUGGCAGAAGUUAUUCAGUUAAGGGCAGAAUCACUGGGAGUCUCUCAUUGCUUGUGUCUAGGGGCAACAUGCUAUACUUGAGGAACAAGUCAGAGAAAUUGCCUGCAGAAGAGACAAGGAUAAUGAAAAAUAUGUACCAGGUCACCUGUGAUGAAAAAGACAAAAAUGAAAUCCCAAGGACACCUUGCAUUCCUAUUUUAAAAUUCCUGAUGUCUUAAAAGAUGGUUUGUUCAUUCAGAAGUUUUAUAUUUCAGAGGGAGCUCACAGAACGACCAGACCAAAGUCCUAAGGUAUCAUUUUGUUGUUGUUGCUAUUGCUGAGAGAGAGAGAGGAACUGGAAGGGAAGAAGACAGGAAGAUAAAAACAACAAAUAUUUGGUUUCAUCUAUUUGAAAAACCUCAAGAUUCUAACCUCCAGUAAUGCACCUUGUUAAAAUAAAUUGACAGGUCCUGAAAAAUUA